AAGCCCACAGGCAAGAGGUGAGGGCAGGCCCUCUCUCCUGCUGCUGCUCCCCUACAAUUGGUAUUGAGAGGCAUCGUGCCUCUGAGGAUGGAGGUGGCCCACAGCCACCAGACUAGUAGCCAUUAAUAGACAUGUCCUGGACCGGGAAUGAAAGGAAGAAAAUCCCCAGGCAGUGAACAAGUACAAACUUUGGGUUUGUAGAAAAGCACAGCCAACGAUGAGAGUCACCACCACUGACACUUCUGGAAUGAGAAAACAUUCUGCUCAGCAACUUCCUCCGCGACAGGAACUAAAUUCCUGUGUUAAUGAAGCAUGUAACGCGCUUUCCGGUGCUGUGCAAAGAGCCACGUGAAAGAGGUGGAACUGACUGACUGCCCAUGGAGAUUGCAGAGACACAUCAACCACGAGGAUGGUCAGCAACACACCAACUCCUAGCACAACCAAAAUCCCCACAGCAGCUGGCCAAGAAUGAGAUGUUCCCCAUCUAUUGCCUUUCACUCCAAGAACUCCUGCUCAGAAAAUUAUGAGUUUUAUUCACAAAAUAAACAUGGCAAAAGAUUGCACUGGAAUGAUUGUUAUGAGCCCUUGUGGCCUUAAAUCAAUUCCCUCUCCACAGCAGGAACUUUGUAGAAAGGCCAUCCUAAAGUAAAUGCAGCUUUACUGAAAGCACAUCUUGAAGCUCUCUCAGAAAGUGGAGCAGGGUGAGAAAACUAAGCUGCCAGCACAGGUUAUCAAUCCAUCCCUUCAUCGGAAACAGAUAAUAGAUAUUUAGACAGAAAAAUCCCAAAAUUACUCAUUUGGUAAUAAAGUUUGCCCUUUUACAUCACUUCCUUCAAGAACUUAGUGGGGCACCAAAAAUUAGCAUAUUGCAAGUUUUGAACCCAGUACCCAAGCAAUCAGCAAAACAAGCAAAUCAGUUGCAAGUGGAUUUUUACAGGAGGGGGAAUUUAGAGUCCAAGCAUCAGUGCUCUUUGUUCUGGCUUUCUGAAGAAAAGAAGCUUGCUCUUAAGUGGAUUGCAGCUCAGGUCUGGCUGGGAUUAUUCCCUACAGCUUUCAAGGAACUAUGUGAACUAUGUACUGUAUUUUAAAAGUUUUCCCUCAUUCAAACCAAAAGAACAUACAACUCUACAGCAAAUUAAUAUUCAGCCACUGAGACCAAUCCUUCAAUUGAGCGGCAUCUAAAUAUCCGCAACAGAUGUAUCACUGUACAAUUCUUGUUUAAGAAAAGGGUGGGUGGCAAAAAUAUCGCCCUGGAGAUGUAGAUAGGUAGGUUGUCUCAGCAACCACAAAAUGCCACAACAUGUGCUAGUGCUCGAAACAUACUGGUGUUGUGCUCGCUAGCAGGAAGAUAUUGGCCAAGUCAUGUUGGUUCUGAACAAGAGAUUAGCAUCAUAAUUCUGGUAACAUGCAUGGUGUCUGUGUGAGAGGAGAAUGAUAAUCAGCCACCUGGGCUCUUCAAGAUCAAACAGGUCCAGGCAGACUAAAAAUAAACAGUGAUAAAUCAGUUCAAGACCACUGCUUAUCUCCCAGUGGGCACAAACGGCUAUUUCCCUCUAAUGCCAAUUUCUUGCCGAGCAAAGUGGCUGGCCGGUCCUCAGAGCAGCAGCAGUUUGGUGUGCAUAAUAAACCCCAUCUCAUGAAA